rnacentral:tRNA from 1 species
GGGCUAAGUAGCCUAAGCUAAGGUGCGACAUUGAAGCUGUCGAGAUAAUCAAAAUGAUUCUAGCCCA